UACGGAGGGUGCAAGCGUUGUCCGGAUUUAUUGGGUUUAAAGGGUGCGUAGGCGGUUCUUUAAGUCUGGGGUGAAAGCCCGUUGCUCAACAACGGAACUGCCCUGGAAACUGGAGGACUUGAGUACAGACGAGGGUGGCGGAAUGGAUGGUGUAGCGGUGAAAUGCAUAGAUACCAUCCAGAACCCCCGAUUGCGAAGCAGCUGCCUAGACUGUAACUGACGCUGAGGCACGAAAGCGUGGGGAGCGAACAGG
rnacentral:rRNA from 1 species